rnacentral:rRNA from 1 species
GGUGAACGCUGGCGGCGUGCCUAAGACAUGCAAGUCGAGCGGGGCAGGUUUAUACCUGUUCAGCGGCGGACGGGUGAGUAACGCGUGGGUGACCUACCCGGAAGAGGCGGACAACCUGGGGAAACCCAGGCUAAUCCGCCAUGUGGUCCUGUCCUGUGGGGCAGGACUAAAGGGUGGAUAGCCCGCUUCCGGAUGGGCCCGCGUCCCAUCAGCUAGUUGGUGGGGUAAAGGCCCACCAAGGCGACGACGGGUAGCCGGUCUGAGAGGAUGGCCGGCCACAGGGGCACGGAGACACGGGCCCCACUCCUACGGGAGGCAGCAGUUAGGAAUCUUCCGCAAUGGGCGCAAGCCUGACGGAGCGACGCCGCUUGGAGGAGGAAGCCCUUCGGGGUGUAAACUCCUGAACUGGGGACGAAAGCCCCGUGUAGGGGGAUGACGGUACCCAGGUAAUAGCGCCGGCCAACUCCGUG